rnacentral:rRNA from 1 species
UAAGGAAUAUUGCUCAAUGGGAGAAAUCCUGAAGCAGCAACGCCGCGUGGAGGAUGAAGGGUCUAUGACUUGUAAACUCCUGUAAAGAAGGAAAAAAUUCCCAUUUGAUGGGAGAUGAUGGUACUUCUGGAGUAAGCCCCGGCUAACUACGUGCCAGCAGCCGCGGUAAUACGAAGGAUGCAAGCGUUAUCCGGAAUUAUUGGGUUUAAAGGGUGCGUAGGCGGACUAAUAAGUCAGUGGUGAAAGCCUGCAGCUUAACUGCAGAAUUGCCAUUGAUACUGUUAGUCUUGAGUACAGUUGAGGUAGGCGGAAUGUGUCAUGUAGCGGUGAAAUGCUUAGAUAUGACACAGAACACCGAUUGCGAAGGCAGCUUGCUAAGCUGUAACUGACGCUGAGGCACGAAAGCGUGGGGAGCAAACA